rnacentral:rRNA from 1 species
UACGUAGGGGGCAAGCGUUGUCCGGAUUUAUUGGGCGUAAAGAGCGUGUAGGCGGCCUGAAAGGUCAGCUGUGAAAACUCGAGGCUCAACCUCGAGACGUCGGUUGAAACCAUCUGGCUAGAGUCCGGAAGAGGAGAGUGGAAUUCCCGGUGAUAGCGGUGAAAUGCGCAGAUAUCGGGAAGAACACCCGUGGCGAAGGCGGCUCUCUGGGACGGUACUGACGCUGAGACGCGAAAGCGUGGGGAGCGAACGAGGA